rnacentral:tRNA from 1 species
UGGGAGAUGGCUCAGCUGGUAGAGCACAUGUUAUCAUGCACUAGGACCUGGAUUCAAGUCCCAGUCUACCAC